CCAUACACCACCCUGAACGCGGCCGAUCUCGUCUGAUCUCGGAAGCUAAGCAUGGUCGGGCCUGGUUAGUACUUGGAUGGGAGAAAUGGGACAUUUAUGGG
rnacentral:rRNA from 1 species